rnacentral:rRNA from 1 species
GAUCCUGGCUCAGGAUGAACGCUAGCGACAGGCCUAACACAUGCAAGUCGAGAGGCAUCAGGUAUCAGCUUGCUGAUACGCUGGCGACCGGCGCACGGGUGAGUAACGCGUAUGGAAUCUGUCUGUAACAGGGGGAUAACCCGGAGAAAUUCGGACUAAUACCCCAUGCCGUCCGGUUUUUUGCAUGAAAGGCCGGCGAAAGGGUAACCGGUUACAGGUGAUCAUGCGUUCCAUUAGCUGGUUGGG